UACGUAGGGUCCGAGCGUUGUCCGGAAUUAUUGGGCGUAAAGGGCUCGUAGGCGGUUUGUCGCGUCGGGAGUGAAAACUCAGGGCUCAACCCUGAGCGUGCUUCCGAUACGGGCAGACUAGAGGUAUGCAGGGGAGAACGGAAUUCCUGGUGUAGCGGUGGAAUGCGCAGAUAUCAGGAGGAGCACCGGUGGCGAAGGCGGUUCUCUGGGCAUUACCUGACGCUGAGGAGCGAAAGCAUGGGGAGCGAACAGG
rnacentral:rRNA from 1 species